rnacentral:lncRNA from 1 species
GGCUUAAAUAUGGAAAUGGUCCCUGUAAAUAUCUGGCAUUUUGGAUUUAGUCCCUAUAAAAAUAUUUUUUUGGUUUUAGUCCAUGCAAAUAUAGAAUAUUUGGUUUUGGUCCUUGGUAUUUUGUUUUAAUCCUUGUAAAAUCAUUUCAUAUUGAAAUUGGUCCCUAUAAUAUUCAUUUUAGUCCUCAUUUUGAAGGACUAAAAUCAAAUAUUCUACAUAUUACAAGGACCAAAUCCAAUAUGAAUCAAUUUUACAAGGACUAAAAUAAAAUACCAAGG